rnacentral:rRNA from 1 species
GACGAACGCUGGCGGCGUGCUUAACACAUGCAAGUCGAACGGAAAGGCCCUGCUUGCAGGGUACUCGAGUGGCGAACGGGUGAGUAACACGUGGGUGAUCUGCCCUGCACUUCGGGAUAAGCCUGGGAAACUGGGUCUAAUACCGGAUAGGAGCCAUUUUUAGUGUGAUGGUUGGAAAGUUUUUUCGGUGUAGGAUGAGCUCGCGGCCUAUCAGCUUGUUGGUGGGGUAAUGGCCUACCAAGGCGGCGACGGGUAGCCGGCCUGAGAGGGUGGACGGCCACAAUGGGACUGGGAUAAGGCCCAGACUCCCACGGGAGGCAGCAGUGGGGAAUAUUGCAAAAUGGGCGCAAGCCUGAUGCAGCGACGCCGCGUGGGGGAUGACGGGCUUCGGGUUGUAAACUCCUUUCGCUAGGGACGAAGCUUUUUGUGACGGUACCUAGAUAAGAAGUACCGGCUAACUACGUG